UGGCGAUGAGGAAAGAAAACCUUUGUGCCGGAGGCGGAUGCGCCGGUGUCGGUAACACAAAAUCCUCUAAGAAGUUCUGAGCCC
rnacentral:snoRNA from 1 species